ensembl:lncRNA
AGGAUAUUUUUCACAAUGGAAACAUACUAUAACUAAUUCUGAGCACUUGAUCUUACAGAAACCCUUUCAUUCACAUUUUUCUUUGUCCUGUAGAAGUGAAACCAAAGAGGACAGUAAUCCAAACAUACCAAAAAGACAGCAACAGGAAACACCCACUUCUGGGUCAGUAGUUGUUACAUAAAACAAUCUAAUGAAACAGUCAGUUUUCACAAAUUCUCCACAUAAUAUUUUCUCAAGCUAAAGUAAGUGACGAACAAAGUCAAGCAGAUAAAUGUUUUUAUGAUUGAUGAUGCCAAACUAUGACAGAAACAUAUUUUUACCUUGUUCAGUGUUUGUUUCAAACCAGACUUUCUCCUCCCAUUCCUUCCUUCAUCCCCUGGUUGUGGUCCUGUAGGCAUGCAGCACCUUGUGGAAUGCAUUUGUGAUGGAGCGACACAAAAGAGUUACUACCUCUGCACUCUCUGCAAACUCACUUUGGCUGCCCACAUGAUCAUCAAACAUGUCCUGAGCUUUGACCACAUCUUCUGUUACUUUAAAGAGUGGCAUCCAUCUACUUUGCUGUCCAAGGAAUGCUACAUAAAUCACGAGUCUUUUGUCUGUGAUAUACUAGAUUUUUCAAGGCAGACAGAGGAAAUUCAUGGAACUGCAAACACUGAGAUCAAGCAAGUGAUUCUGGACCCUACUGAGUAUUCAUCAGUGAAUUUUGCUUGUUAUGCUGAAGCUUUGAAGACGCUGGAAUCAAAGAGAAAUGAGAACAAACAAGGCAGCCUGAUUGUGAACAUUAAGCCUGGGCGAAAGUUGGUUUCUGUAGUACGUCUUGCCGAAGAGAGCAGUCUGCCCUACUCCAUAAUUCUGCGCUGCCAGGACUGCUCUCAGCGCUUUAACAGUAUUUACCAGUAUUUAAAUCAUUUGCCAAAGGUGAAACACAUAAUGAUGCUGCAAAAACACUUUGGUCAAGCUAAAAGAGAUUGUGGCCAACAAACAGGACAGAGACCAUAUCUGGGCCUAUACACUUACAUCCAAAACUGCUUAAAGAUAAAUGAACCGGUUAUUGGUGUCUCCCUGAUCGUGACAUGCAUCAACACUGAAAUUAAGGAAGACUGCAUCUAUGUUUGCUUUGCCUGUGAGGAUUUUUUCUCUGACUCUGCUCUCAAGCAGCACCUAGGAUCCAUUUGCCAUCUUGUAAACACAUUGCUGUACCAGAAUCCCUGGCGACUUCCUUUUGCCUGGGAAAACUCCUUGAAUGUGACAGAAUUAAAGUCACUGGCAUUGGAAGAGGAGAAGGAACAGGGACCAAAUCAUGUGAUCACCAUGAAGGUUUUUGACAUGCCACGCAUGCUAUUUUGCAGCCUCCUCCCAGCUACUUAUGAAGAAGGUAGUAAUUGUUUGUUGUGAAAGUAAUGAAAAUUGGGCCUUUCCUCAUUAAACUUACAGCAAUCUCCUAGUUUUCUGCAUAAACUGUGGUGAAAUGUGGAUUAGUGCUAUUUUUACCUAAUGAUGCCAUAUUUUGACAACACAGUUCCUCUUGAGCUGUGCAGGUCUGAUCUCUGCCUGUUCAUGCCCAAUUUUCUAAGAUGAAAUAAUUAUCUUGUCUCAUUUGA